rnacentral:rRNA from 1 species
UCCUACGGGAGGCAGCAGUGGGGAAUCUUAGACAAUGGGGGAAACCCUGAUGCAGCCAUGCCGCGUGUGUGAAGAAGGCCUUCGGGUUGUAAAGCACUUUCAGUAGGGAGGAAGGUAGUGUAGUUAACACCUGCACUAUUUGACGUUACCUACAGAAGAAGCACCGGCUAACUCCGUGCCGGCAGCCGCGGUAAUACGGAGGGUGCGAGCGUUAAUCGGAAUUACUGGGCGUAAAGCGCAUGCAGGCGGCCUGUUAAGUCAGAUGUGAAAGCCCGGGGCUUAACCUCGGAAUUGCAUUUGAAACUGGCAGGCUAGAGUCUUGUAGAGGGGGGUAGAAUUUCAGGUGUAGCGGUGAAAUGCGUAGAGAUCUGAAGGAAUACCAGUGGCGAAGGCGGCCCCCUGGACAAAGACUGACGCUCAGAUGCGAAAGCGUGGGGAGCAAACAGGAUUAGAUACCCUGGUAGUCCACGCCGUAAACGAUGUCUACUUGGAGGUUGUGGCCUUGAGCCGUGGCUUUCGGAGCUAACGCGUUAAGUAGACCGCCUGGGGAGUACGGUCGCAAGAUUAAAACUCAAAUGAAUUGACGGA